CCGGUAAACGGCGGCCGUAACUAUAACGGUCCUAAGGUAGCGAAAUUCCUUGUCGGGUAAGUUCCGACCUGCACGAAUGGCGUAAUGAUGGCCAGGCUGUCUCCACCCGAGACUCAGUGAAAUUGAACUCGCUGUGAAGAUGCAGUGUACCCGCGGCAAGACGGAAAGACCCCGUGAACCUUUACUAUAGCUUGACACUGAACAUUGAGCCUUGAUGUGUAGGAUAGGUGGGAGGCUUUGAAGUGUGGACGCCAGUCUGCAUGGAGCCGACCUUGAAAUACCACCCUUUAAUGUUUGAUGUUCUAACGUUGACCCGUAAUCCGGGUUGCGGACAGUGUCUGGUGGGUAGUUUGACUGGGGCGGUCUCCUCCUAAAGAGUAACGGAGGAGCACGAAGGUUGGCUAAUCCUGGUCGGACAUCAGGAGGUUAGUGCAAUGGCAUAAGCCAGCUUGACUGCGAGCGUGACGGCGCGAGCAGGUGCGAAAGCAGGUCAUAGUGAUCCGGUGGUUCUGAAUGGAAGGGCCAUCGCUCAACGGAUAAAAGGUACUCCGGGGAUAACAGGCUGAUACCGCCCAAGAGUUCAUAUCGACGGCGGUGUUUGGCACCUCGAUGUCGGCUCAUCACAUCCUGGGGCUGAAGUAGGUCCCAAGGGUAUGGCUGUUCGCCAUUUAAAGUGGUACGCGAGCUGGGUUUAGAACGUCGUGAGACAGUUCGGUCCCUAUCUGCCGUGGGCGCUGGAGAACUGAGGGGGGCUGCUCCUAGUACGAGAGGACCGGAGUGGACGCAUCACUGGUGUUCGGGUUGUCAUGCCAAUGGCACUGCCCGGUAGCUAAAUGCGGAAGAGAUAAGUGCUGA
rnacentral:rRNA from 1 species